AUCUUCCCCCACCACCCCUCGGCGAGGAGUAAGUGCCACCGCUCCGCCUUCUCCUUUUCGCAAUGUUGACGCAAUCUAUAAAUAGUGGAACAAAAGGACCAACUUCCUCGCAGCUUUGCUGAAACUGCACAAAAAAGGCAACCGGGGAGAUCGGGGGGGGGGGGGGGGGGGGGGGGGGGGGGGGGGGGGGGGGGGGGGGGGGGGGGGGGGGGGGGGGGGGGGGGGGGGGGGGGGGGGGGGGGGGGGGGGGGGGGGGGGACGACGACACACACGCGGUUAUUUUUUGAUUUUAUUUUUCUCCGGUCAAAAGGCGAAUCCUCCUCCUCCUCCUUUCCUCCCUCUCUCCCCUUCCCUCCCCCUCCCCUCGCUACUGGAAGAUCUUUUUUAUUUUCCCUUGCUGCCUCCUAUGCUGGCAACGUCCUGCGAGUGGCUAUUUUGCUUUUGCACCGAGAGAAGAGCUUCCCCCCCUCGCCCUCUCUUCUGACACUUAUGGAUGAAAUCCACACUGAUGUCUAACCUGUAAUGAGUGCCAAUGUAAGUAAUCCAUUGUUCUACAGCUACAUUUGUUUGUGAAUUGAUUGUCUUUACCUAGUCCUGCUGAGUAACAGCUAAUUAGCAAUUUCCAUUUUCAAUUUCAGUGCUAUUACAAUUAAGCUCUACACACAAAUUCUGCCACUCUUAACUGUUAUUGCAUGCCUGCUUGUGCCUUUUCCCAAAUGCUAGUGACUAGAAUUAACAGAAAUAUAUAUUUUAAAAAUGGUUUUGAUUUUUGCCAUAUCUAAUAGUGGGUUUAAAAGAGGUAACUUGGGAAGACAAACAUUGGGGUAGUCAUUAUUUCGGCAGGAUAAUGAAUUUUGUGAUUCAGGUUGUCCCUGAAAGUCAAUUUAAAGCCUUCCUUAGAAGUGACUAUGCUAAAAUAAAAAGGCAGUGAUUAAAGAACAGCUCAGAACAGCACUUAGAAAGCUGAAGUCUCACUCUGUUUUCCAUGCAAGCACAAAACAUAACAUAUCUGAGCACUAUGUAAAAAAUAUUACUGUAAAUACUCACCUGACUCCUCUUUCAUCCUAUUAUUUCUCCUAUGUUCAUUAAGUUUUUUUUUCAUCUUUCCUUCUGUAAAAGAGAAUAAUUUCCUUCUCCCCAUUUCAGUUUCUUCCUUUGCUUUUUCCUACUCACCUGCACAGUUUCUGGAAUUCCAGAAUUUAAAAGAGCUAUGGAUCCAGUCCUGGGGUUAUAUACCAAGUUCUGAAAGCUUUAGCAUGGCUGAAGACCAAUAACUUAAAUUUUAAGUGUUUGUGUUCUCUUAUUGCCAGUAAAGAUAUAGAAACACUAGAAUAAAGUUCAGCAAUUAAUCUAUUUAGAUAACUGUAACCUUAGAAUGAGAUCACCAUUCUGUAAAGAGCUAUGCUGAUGCAGUAAAACAUUAUGAUUUUUAUAAAUUUGAACUAUAUCA
rnacentral:lncRNA from 12 species